UUUACUGUAAUGAAUAAAAAAAAGUCACCUAUAUCUUGGAUAGUCUGAGGGCGAGCAAGUUAACAGCAAAUUUUAGUUUU